rnacentral:lncRNA from 1 species
AGUGCAAGAAGGGCCUUUGAGCCCCAGGCCCAGGAUGCCUGAUGCUGUGUGGAGGUGACACCUUCCAGCUCCCUCGGUGAUGCAGUGCUGGACCAAAACCUGCCCUGUGCAGCAAUGAUUGCGAGCCGUCUUCUCCCACGUGGCUGUGUUUGGCCCUGGUCCAUCAUCAAGUCAGUCCUACUGCUGUGAAAGCCAGGUUUCUGGACUCACACAGACUUGAAACCAAAGCCAGGCUUGACCACAGAUAGUUCGAGGCUCCAGGAUGUUCCUGAGAUGGCGAAGCUGGCAUCCCUCACGGUCUGAAGGCAGGGGAGGCCCUGAGCUAGCCAAGGAGACCUCACACUGGAACACGAUGAAACUGUCUGUCAGAUGAGGCAUUCUGUGCGCUCAUCCAUCAAAUCUGCACCCACCUCAGACCUAUAAUCCUGCAUAACCUUAUCCUUUAUUCCAGACUCUCCCAUCUCAGCUGGGCCCUCUUUCUCUCUGGCCCACACGGUGGUGGACAACCCCAAGUCCCAGGAACCAGGACACAUGUUGAAGGUCCUAGAAGUUACCACAUGGGAAUGAAUAAGGAAGAUGCAAAAUGUAGUGAAAGAGACCAGUCAUCUCCCACGGCUCUGCAAAGUGAGUCAUCUGAUGGCGCCAAGCUGCUCACGGCUUAUUAGACAGUAACACGGCGUGCACUCCAGAGCCUCCACUUCCAAACACAGCCAGUGGUGAGCGUGUUCUCGGAGUCACAAAGAUCACAUGCAGAGAGCCUUGGAGCAGGAGGGGAACCCAGAGGGCCUUGGAGAUCAGAGGCCCAGAGAGGGAAAGCGACCUGCCCAGGACCUCCUAGUAAACUGAUGAGACACGGUUUGAGAACCCUCUUUUUCGCCAGCCUGCACACCUCUGUCCUUAUGUUGCACACGCCCACGUGCCUCUGGCUGUCUUGGGGGCUCUGGAUUCGAUGGCUGGGCUUUCCCUCUCAAUGCAGGAGCCCUCAGUCGGUAAGCCUGCUCACCCCCUUGCUGAGCACCCCCUGGAAGCAAGAAAAUUGGAAAGAGACAGCUGGGCUGGAGUCUUAACUAUUUUAAUAACGUUUGGUACCAUGGCUGUUGCUGGGAGAUUAGCAGGGAAAUGUAACGGUGUGUAAUUUUUCCUAAGAAUUGCAUUAACAAAAUCAAAUGGGCAGAUGGAGGUGGAAGUUGGGGGGCAGGGAUAGAGCGCUUUCUGGAGGCUUCCUUGGGAGGGAGUUUCUAGGCUCAGGACCUCAGCAAAGCUCUGGGGUGUAAGUGAGAGCUUUCCUUGGGCCAUCUCUCAUCUUUCCUAUCCCUGCCUGUCCUCCAUGUGGGAGGAGAGGCAAGGCAGGGGAAAGAGAAGAAGGACUGGGUUCAAAUUUCUAUCCUGCUGCUUUCUCACGGGGGGGGGGGGGGGGNNGGGGGGGGCUUAGAUAAGUGGCUUUACCUCUCUUGAGUGUGUGCUUCCUUGCCUGUAGCUAGGGGUAGCCAUGCAAGGCUCUUCCAGGGAUCAGGAUGCUAAGCGUGGUGUCUGAUGCAGAGUGGCCUGGGAUGGACGCCUGUCUGGUUAACUCUCCAAAUGUCCACUCUCUGGCCCACCCAGAUCAUACCAUCUACCUCUCAUGCUCCACUUUCUAUAGCAGGAGGCUUCUCUGCAUGUCAGGCCAGGGCUGCGGCCAAGGACAAGGCCAGAGAAGGCAGGACCUCUUUCCUGCAUACAGGGAGCUGAGAAGGCCAGGCAUUCACAUCUACUUUUCUUCAGCCUGGCAGCAGAUUUAAGACACUACAGAGUGUGCUCUCAGCCAGAAUCACCCGAUCUGUCUCAAAAACCCUGAGAGAAAGGGGGCUACUGGGCCCCAUUUUACAGAUGGGGAAACUGAGGCUCGGACAGAUUGUCAGCAGGUCAGUAGCAGAAUUAAAAAUGGAGCAGAAAUACCAGAUGGGAAAUCCCAAAUUCUUCUUGCAACAUUCCUUUGUCAUAUAUCUUCCAUCCAACUUUUUACACAUUUUCUCAUUUUCUCUUUGGUUUGCUUUUGCACCAUCAACUAGACUGUAAGCUGCUUGAGGGUAGACCUUUGUGCUUACCCACUACGUUUCAUGAGACUUGGCACACAGCAUGUGCUCAGGUAAGACAUCAAAUUAAAUGGGCAGAGACCUGGUGAGGUACUAUUUCCUUAGUAAGUCCAGGCUCCGAGUUGUCCCUUUCUCCCACACUCCAGCCUACAUACACACACGCCACACACACAUGCCACGCACGCAUACACGGCUUGCAGAAUCUAAUAACAACCAGUUUAAAAACAUACUAAAAACAGAAAAUUUAUGUAGCAUGACCCAAAUUGAAUUAUACAUUACAGCACUAUAAUUGAUUUUUUAGAAGGAGAUUAAAUUUAUUUUAUGCCUCACUAACUAACAGCUAGAUUUACCUAAUUGCUUGGAGUGCAGAGUUAGUAUGAUUCAUUAAACUCCAUACAUGCUUGGGUACACUGCGCACUGAGUAAGCUUCCCUGCUCGCAGCAAUUAACCAGGAGAAACCCGAGGCGGCACCAGUAAUUGACGAGAACAAUUCAGCCUGAAGUUUGCUCUGGGUGUUUUAUUAAGUUCUUUGAGCAAAAUGCAGAUACUGAGCAUUCCAGUAAAGCGGUUCCAA